AUUGGUAAUGGGCGCAGCCUGAACCAGCCAUCCCGCGUGAAGGAAGAAUGCGCUAUGCGUUCUAAACUUCUUUUCCAGGGGAAGAAAACCUCUGAUGUAUCGGAGCUUGCCGGUACCCUGGGAAUAAGCAUCGGCUAACUCCGUGCCAGCAGCCGCGGUAAUACGGAGGAUGCGAGCGUUAUCCGGAUUUAUUGGGUUUAAAGGGUGCGUAGGCGGAAGGAUAAGUCAGUGGUGAAACCCUGCAGCUUAACUGUAGACUUGCCAUUGAUACUGUUUUUCUUGAGUUUGGUCAAGGCAGGCGGAAUGUGUAAUGUAGCGGUGAAAUGCUUAGAUAUUACACAGAACACCGAUUGCGAAGGCAGCUUGCUGGGCCGGUACUGACGCUGAUGCACGAAAGCGUGGGGAUCGAACAGGAUUAGAUACCCUGGUAGUCCACGCUGUAAACGAUGAUUACUCGAUGUUGGCGAUACACAGUCAGCGUCUGAGCGAAAGCAAUAAGUAAUCCACCUGGGGAGUACGAUCGCAAGAUUGAAACUCAAAGAAAUUGACGGA
rnacentral:rRNA from 1 species